rnacentral:siRNA from 1 species
UGCAUUCUAAACACAGCAGGGCCA